CUUCUAAGUUCUUCUUAUAAUAUAAUUUUUAUAUGUUUCUCCUCCGCUUGUCCCAACUGACACUUUUCUUGCAUUGCAAGCAUUCACAUAUAUGAAGAAUGAAAAGUAUAGAGAUUGAUGAUGAAUUUAGAGAUUCGAACAAAAUUCAUCCCAUUCAACUUUGAACGAUCCCAAAACGUUGUCGAAACAACAAUUAUGUAGGUUUUCCUGGUAUUAUUAACUAUUUUGAUUUUAUAAUAUAUGUUCUUUUCUGAACAAAAAAUGCUUGGAGCUCAUAAUUGACAAAAAAUGUUAGCUGCCACACCUCUUUGCAAUUUCAUGUUUGUUCGAAGGGAAAAAUGUCAGUAGCAUGGGUCCC
rnacentral:lncRNA from 1 species